AUAUUUUACAAUGGGCGCAAGCCUGAUCCAGAUAUGCCGCGUGUGUGAAGAAGGUNUUNNGAUUGNANAGCAAUUUAUCUUGGNNNNNAAGGCAGAUAACGAAUACUUAACUGAUUUUACGUUACCAGAAGAAUAUGAACCGGCUAACUUCGUGCCAGUAGCCGCGGUAAUACGAAGGGUGCAAGCGUUAAUCGGAAUUAAUGGGCGUAAAGCGCGCGUAGGUGGUUCGUUAAGUUGGAAGUGAAAGCCCCGGGCUCAACCUGGGAAUUGCUUUCAAAACUGGCGAGCUAGAGUACGGUAGAGGGUGGUGGAAUUUCCUGUGUAGCGGUGAAAUGCGUAGAUAUAGGAAGGAACAUCAGUGGCGAAGGCGACCACCUGACUGAUACUGACACUGAGGUGCGAAAGCGUGGGGAGCAAACAGG
rnacentral:rRNA from 1 species